rnacentral:rRNA from 1 species
ACGAACGCUGGCGGCUUGCUUAACCCAUGCAAGUCGCACGGACAGGCCCUGCUUUUGUUGGUUUCUCGAGUGGCGAACGGGUGAGUAACACGUGAGUAACCUGCCCUUGACUUUUGGAUAACUUCAGGAAACUGGGGCUAAUACCGGAUAGGAGCUCCUGCUGCAUGUUGGGGGUUGGAAAGUUUCGGCGGUUGGGGAUGGACUCGCGGCUUAUCAGCUUGUUGGUGGGGUAGUGGCUUACCAAGGCAUUGACGGGUAGCCGGCCUGAGAGGGUGACCGGCCACAUUGGGACUGAGAUACGGACCAGACUCCUACGGGAGGCAGCAGUGGGGAAUAUUGUACAAUGGGCGGAAGCCUGAUGCAGCAACGCCGCGUGCGGGAUGACGGCCUUCGGGUUGUAAAACGCUUUCGCCUGUGACGAAGCGUGAGUGACGGUAAUGGGUAAAGAAGCACCGGCUAACUACGUG